UACGGAGGGUGCGAGCGUUGUCCGGAAUCAUUGGGCGUAAAGGGCGCGUAGGUGGCCUGCUAAGCGUGCGGUGAAAGUCGGGGGCUCAACCCCCGAUCGGCCGUGCGAACUGGGAGGCUUGAGCACUGUAGAGGCAGGCGGAAUUCCGGGUGUAGCGGUGGAAUGCGUAGAUAUCAGGAGGAACACCAAUGGCGAAGGCAGAUCUCUGGGCCGUAACUGACGCUGAGGAGCGAAAGCAUGGGGAGCGAACAGG
rnacentral:rRNA from 1 species